AUAUAUAUAUAUAUAUAUAUAUAUAUGUUUGUGUGUGUUCAUGUUUUGCCUUGUUCUCAUGGCUACUACUACAAUCCUCAACAAGGAUUGGAUGCAACAACAUGAGAAAAUGUUUCUUUAUGAUUUUGAGUUUUAUCCUGUCCCAAUUUAUACUUUGGUUAUUUGGAUUGUGUAUAAUUUUGUGGUGUCAAUAUCAAAUGUGCCAUACAAUAACAAGUUUAUAAAGGUAAAAGGUGUAUUGAUCUCUUGAAACUAAGGGAUUAUUGAAGGUGUUUUACUGUUUCUCUGCUCGGUAAGAAUCUGCAUGUCAGAUGUUCAGUUUUUGUGUAGUGUUUUGAAGCUUCACUAUCUGGUUGGUGAAAUUUUUCAAGUUUUUGCCCAACUCGUUCCCUUGAAGCAAAAAUGAGUGUGAUGUUCUUUCUACUUCCAGUCCUUCAUUAUCUCUACAUUGCGGGACUACACUGGUGCAUCUACAUUACUUUCUUUUGAUUUAUUUUGUUUGAAUUGAUUUAGAUUGUUUUGCAUGCUUGUGUACUUGAGUGAAAUGAUUACUAUUUUUAAUGUGAAUGGUGUAUGUGUUGAACAUUGAUGAUCUCUACAGACCUGUAAUGAUUUGCGAAGAUGAUCGUAACUCUUUAUGAACAUCUAAGGGACUGAGUUCUUCACACAUUAGAUAUGGAGUAUUUGAUUUUUACAGAGUUUUGUUAAUUGCAAAUUAAUGUUUUGAUGUUGCUGUUUUCACAGUUCGAGCUUUGUUGUUUAGUGCAGUACUGUGUUCGCUGGAUGAUUGUUGAGCUUUUGGACGUUGAGCUUUUGGACGUUGAGGAACCACAUUAUUUUAAUCUUUGUUUAUAGUUAUGAUUUUUGUAUUAGCAUCUCUUUUGCAAAUUGAAAUAUUGAACCUCUUCAAAAAUCAAACCUAAAUAUCCUUUUAUGAAACAACUCAUUGCUAGAAA